GUUAAAGUUGUUGUAUCGAUGGUUGCAGAGAUGCUUACUAAGCAACAUAUGUUGAAGUAAUCAAAAGGAUGGGAUUCUAAGUUUACAUCAAAGUGAUCUGGGAAUUCAAGAGUCUAAGGUUGAAUUGUUUUUGAUAAAUCUUUUCUUUUCUUUUCUUUUCUUUUCUUUCUUUUUUCUCUAAGUCCAGAAUCUUAAAACAUUUCAGGUUCUUCAAAAAUGGGAUAUUUAUUCAAGUUAGUUGUUGCAACGAUGGUUGCAGAGGUGUUUACUAAGCAAAAUAUGUUGAAGUAAUAUAAAGGACACAUGGGUUAAGACCAAAAUAUGCAGAGAAAUUAAGUACCUAAGGAAUUACGUCCGUUUCCUUUUCUUUCCUUUCUUUCCUUUCUUUUCUUUUCUUUUCUUUUCUCUCAACUCAGAUUCUAAAAUCAUUCUGAAAUUGCGCUCAGGUUCUUCAAAUGUAAAGAUCUGUUUUUAUAAUUUAUUAGAAGUUUUGUGCACAAGAGGAGAUUAAACAGAUAAGAUUUCAAGAAAAAAUUUCUCAGUAUAGAUUGCAAGACUCUUAUAAGGAGGAGUUAUUCCUCGAUCGACGCAUCUAAAAAUAUGCUUGAUUUCUUUUAUUCAAGAGGAGAUCGUUUAAAUAAGAUUCUAAUGAACUAUCUUAAUUGGACUGAUAAUGGUCGGAGCUUAGGUUUUCCCAUCUGAUAUCACUUUUAAUUAAUGCGUCUGCAGAAGGCCAGUGAAUUGGAUUCAUUUUCAUUUGUUAGAAGCUCCCUAGUAAAUUCUGAUCAGCUGAUAAGAGGAGGCUUAAUACUGGGUGUAAUUUUGAAGGUGAAGCAUAGAAAAAUACCUCAGCAAUUCAGUGAAGAUUUCUGUGAUUCUAAAUUCUUCCCAAAAGUAAUGCUCUGACUUACAAAUGGU